GUAGGGAAUCUUCCACAAUGGACGAAAGUCUGAUGGAGCAACGCCGCGUGAGUGAAGAAGGUUUUCGGAUCGUAAAACUCUGUUGUCAGAGAAGAACGUGUGCGAGAGUAACUGUUCGUGCAGUGACGGUAUCUGGCCAGAAAGCCACGGCUAACUACGUGCCAGCAGCCGCGGUAAUACGUAGGUGGCAAGCGUUGUCCGGAUUUAUUGGGCGUAAAGGGAACGCAGGUGGUCUUUUAAGUCUGAUGUGAAAGCCGUCGGCUUAACCGAAGUGGUGCAAUGGAAACUGGGAGUCUUGAUUGCAGAAGAGGGGAGUGGAACUCCAUGUGUAGCGGUGAAAUGCGUAGAUAUAUUGAAGAACACCAGUGGCGAAAGCGGCUCUCUGGUCUGUAACUGACGCUGAGGUUCGAAAGCGUGGGUAGCAAACAGGAUUAGAAACCCCGGUAGUCC
rnacentral:rRNA from 1 species